rnacentral:rRNA from 1 species
GGGCGGCCGGGGGAAGGGGGGGGGGUAAGAGGGGGGGGGCGAGCGUUAAUCGGAAGUACUGGGCGUAAAGCGCACGCAGGCGGUUGGAUAAGUUAGAUGUGAAAGCCCCGGGCUCAACCUGGGAAUUGCAUUUAAAACUGUCCAGCUAGAGUCUUGUAGAGGGGGGUAGAAUUCCAGGUGUAGCGGUGAAAUGCGUAGAGAUCUGGAGGAAUACCGGUGGCGAAGGCGGCCCCCUGGACAAAGACUGACGCUCAUGCACGAAAGCGUGGGGAGCAAACAGGAUUAGAUACCCGGGUAGUC